GACUAUUUCCAAUAGUAUACUAGUAAUCGAAAAUUCCAGGAAAGACGUGAAUAGUUUCUUAGUUACGUUGAAGCCUAGCUCAAGCAACUCAAACAAUAUUGACAAUUCAAAUUUCAAAUCUACAAAGCCAAACAUCACUACAAAAUGCCUAUAUAUACUUGCGAAGAGAUUGUUUAAUUCCUUGGAUCAGCAUAUAUAACUAUUUCAGCAGAGAAUUAAAUUAAAGUCAAGCAGAAAUAUGGCGCGAUUAUACGGUGUGGUAGAUGGUGGCUCAGCGUUUGAGGGUUCGGGGCUGAUGAUAAUGGUGGGAAUGGUUGUUAUGUCUAUUUUAAUGAUUUCUAUGGUCAUUUUUGCUUGUGGAGACUCCUCUAACGGGAAAAGGAGGCGUUGGGGCGGCGGAGGGUAUCAUGGAGGCGGUGGAGGAGGCGGCUGUGGAGGUGGAGGAGGCGGUUGUGGCGGCGGCGGCGGUGGAUGCUGAUCAGUUAAUUAAAUUCUUGUGUUUGUCCAGGGGUAUCAAGGGUGUAUUCUUGGAUAUAUAGCCCUUGUUUUGGCUUGUGUAGAUUAAGUAAUAUGUUUAAUAACAUGUACUGAUCACAGGUACGUAAAAAUAAAUUCGACAGUUUAUAUAGAGUAUAAUUUUCCGACAUAUUAAAGAGGUUCAGAUGAACAUCAUUCCAUCCCUUUAGCUCCGCCCACACGUGUACAUAACUACAUAUACCAUUUGAUAUUUGUGAAUAUUAUGCGUGGAGUCUCCAAGAAAACAUUCUCACUAUUUCUAGAUUGUAAAAGUUACUACUGUAAAACUUUUUGUGAAAAAAAGGUAGUCCAGUGCACUAAGCUCCUGCUAUGAGCGGGGUUCGGGGAAGGGCCGGAUCUCUUGGUCACAUGAAGACAACUUCACCAGUUAUGCUAAG